rnacentral:rRNA from 1 species
UGCCGCGUGCAGGAUGAAGGCCUUCGGGUUGUAAACUGCUUUUGUACGGAACGAAACGGCGAGCUCUAAUACAGUUUGCUAAUGACGGUACCGUAAGAAUAAGCACCGGCUAACUACGUGCCAGCAGCCGCGGUAAUACGUAGGGUGCGAGCGUUAAUCGGAAUUACUGGGCGUAAAGCGUGCGCAGGCGGUGAUGUAAGACAGAUGUGAAAUCCCCGGGCUCAACCUGGGACCUGCAUUUGUGACUGCAUCGCUAGAGUACGGUAGAGGGGGAUGGAAUUCCGCGUGUAGCAGUGAAAUGCGUAGAUAUGCGGAGGAACACCGAUGGCGAAGGCAAUCCCCUGGACCUGUACUGACGCUCAUGCACGAAAGCGUGGGGAGCAAACAGGAUUAGAUACCCUGGUAGUCCACGCCCUAAACGAUGUCAACUGGUUGUUGGGUCUUCACUGACUCA